GGGCGUAAAGAGCUCGUAGGCGGCUUGUCACGUCGGAUGUGAAAGCCCGGGGCUUAACCCCGGGUCUGCAUUCGAUACGGGCUAGCUAGAGUGUGGUAGGGGAGAUCGGAAUUCCUGGUGUAGCGGUGAAAUGCGCAGAUAUCAGGAGGAACACCGGUGGCGAAGGCGGAUCUCUGGGCCAUUACUGACGCUGAGGAGCGAAAGCGUGGGGAGCGAACAGGAUUAGAUACCCUGGUAGUCCACGCCGUAAACGUUGGGAACUAGGUGUUGGCGACAUUCCACGUCGUCGGUGCCGCAGCUAACGCAUUAAGUUCCCCGCCUGGGGAGUACGGCCGCAAGGCUAAAACUCAAAGGAAUUGACGGGGGCCCGCACAAGCAGCGGAGCAUGUGGCUUAAUUCGACGCAACGCGAAGAACCUUACCAAGGCUUGACAUAUACCGGAAACGGCUAGAGAUAGUCGCCCCCUUGUGGUCGGUAUACAGGUGGUGCAUGGC
rnacentral:rRNA from 1 species